rnacentral:rRNA from 1 species
GACGAACGCUGGCGGCGUGCUUAACACAUGCAAGUCGAGCGGUAAGGCCCUUUCGGGGGUACACGAGCGGCGAACGGGUGAGUAACACGUGGGUGACCUGCCCUCAGCUCUGGGAUAAGCCUGGGAAACCGGGUCUAAUACUGGAUAUGACUCCAUGACGCAUGUUGUGGGGUGGAAAGCCUUGUGCGGCUGAGGAUGGGCCCGCGGCCUAUCAGCUUGUUGGUGGGGUGAUGGCCUACCAAGGCGACGACGGGUAGCCGGCCUGAGAGGGCGACCGGCCACACUGGGACUGAGACACGGCCCAGACUCCUACGGGAGGCAGCAGUGGGGAAUCUUGCGCAAGUGGGCGAAAGCCUGACGCAGCGACGCCGCGUGAGGGAUGACGG